GCCAGCCAUUGCGGAUUGGUCGGAAGUCGUUCGAAAUGUUAAGAGUGACGUCCGAAGACUGAUUGCUAUCAAGGACAAUGAGCAGCCUGGCGAUGAAAAGUAUGCUCGAACGAACUUUGGAUACGUAUUUUUCUCGGACAAGGACAAUUCAUCAGCUCUCUCAUAUCAAAAGUCUAAUCCGAUGGAUAUAUACGCCUCGAGUGUUAUUAUCGGCUCCAAUUUUGGUAUGAUCGAGCAGAUUGCAGCUGUAAGGCAUACCAAAAAGUGUACGAGAGAGAUGUGAUCACCAGUAUUUAGUGGUAAAGGAGGCUUUCCAGGUGACUGGAUUCUCUAUUGGUGACAGUAAGGGAAACGGCAUAGAUAAUGUGUUGAUGUUGAGUGCACAACAAUCCAUAUUUAAGUUUAUUUAAGAAAUUUAGUUUAAAAAGUCAUAAUUAUUAUUAUUUCAGUUAUUUUAAAUUCAUGUAUAGUCAUAUAUAGUAAAUC